GGUUCGUGUUCGGCGUUUUGCUGCUUGACUCCAGAGUAAUAUGGCCAUCCUAUCCGUACCACUGUCUCCGAAACGGCAUUACUUACUGCCGGACUAAGUAUAUCGACCCAUUUUCCAGGUUGUAAGACAGUCGUGGUGACACUGGAAAACACAUUAAAUCGCCCCGGGAAAGCUUCCGUGGCGACGACGGAGCUUAUAAUAUAUCGGAGCCAAAAAUGGCCGAGUCACCGGGAGACGAACGGCGUCGGACCUUUGACUUUUCCGAUUCCGAAUUACAGGACGACUCCGAAGAAAAUGUUUUAGAGACUACUGAGAAAGUUCUGGAAGAAAAGCAGGUUCUCUCUGAUGCAGAGGAAAAUUAUGACAACGCUGAUCGACCAAGCUCUGCAAAAGAACUACCUGAGGAUUCAGUGGAAGAUACGUACUCGAUAGAGUAUGUGAUAAAUGAUCACGAUGUGACUGACAAAAAGCAAAAUAAUGGUAUAACAACUAAGCCUGAAAAGUUCCGUAUGGUCUGCAACGAGUGCGGAACGUCCUUCCCUCGUCGCGAGAUGUUUUACCUUCACCGCCACUAUCAUACCCACAAGGAUGAACUCGUUCCCCUCAAAUGUUUGGACUGCGGCCUUUCCUUUAAGGACCGCCGAAGCCUCAUGAAACACAGACAUGUGCAUGAAAAUGAGUCCAAGUAUAAGUCAGAAGCUCGUUUUCAGUGUGCGGCAUGCGACAAGUUUUUUACGACGGCUCCAGAACUGAGACGCCACAAAUGCGAUGAUACAGAUGACAAGCCUUACCAUUGUACACUGUGCCGCAAAGACUUUGUCGUAAAGUGUGCCAUCGCCAAGCACAUGCUGAGCCACUCAGAGGAGAUCAGAUGGACGUGCAAGAAGUGCAAUCAAAGCUUUCCCGACUACAGGACACUGCGCCAUCACAAGCAUUGCCACCUUGUCCGCAAAACCUACGAAUGUCCGGAGUGCGGUAUGACUUUCACACACAGCUCCGCCAUGGAAGCCCACCGGCACGAACACGCCGAACGACUACGUUCUUUUCUGUGUCCUGUUUGCGGUAAAAGCUUCACGUACAGGAGUCUCUUGCAAGAGCAUCAGAAUUUGCGCACCAGUGACGAGCUCUUCCGCUGUCCUGAUUGUGAUAAGCAGCUCACCAGCCCACCGGUGAGUGCACAUGCACUUUCGUGAGGUGGAGGACAAGUCACAUGAGAAAAGUGGUCAGCCACACAAUUGAUUGAAAAGACCUGCAUUUGACACCUCGGGAACUUAUCCUCCACUACCUGUGCCAAAGUCAGGUUUUGGAGGAGGAGGGGUCCAAGACAAGGAUGAUGACAAUCCAGAGCACGAGAGAGAGAUGUCGGGGUUCCUGACUGUGACGAUGAAGACGGAAGACAAACUUGGCCUCGGAUAGGGCCCGAGCAUCGGCAAACGAUGGCUGCCUCCUCCACCUUUUGCACAGCGGCCUUUUACUGAGCAGCAACCCGGAGCCCAGUCCUCAUCUGUUGCUUGGAGCACAACAGGGUCAUCGGAGGUUCAAGAUUCAGUUCGAAAAUCGUCUGGACAAGGGUCUCUGGGAAUUGCUGACUGUUUUAGUCAGGGCAUAAUAAUGCUUGUCAUGUCGCAGGAAGCGCUGGCACUUAAUUUCCAGGAAAAACAGAAUCCUCCUAACAGAGGCUGUUUGGAGUUCUAGAGACACAGCAAUUACAUUACAUGCAACAACUGCACCACAGUAGAACUCCCUUUCGAUUCUGCUGUGCAUACUGAAAAUAUGUGAAAACUUCAUUUGAAUUUUAAACUCUUAGAUUGUCUAAAACAGAAUUGCUAUCAGCUUUUUAUUUUUGCAAAACCUGCGUUUUAAAAAUGUGGAAUGUAUUCAAGUGCAAUUAAAUUUAAGACUCAUUGAGGUUAAUUGAUGACUAAA